rnacentral:rRNA from 1 species
GUCUAGCCAUAAACCAUAAUACUAUCCUACCAAGUAUUCGCCAGAGAAUUACAAGCAACAUGCUUGAAACUCAAAGGACUUGGCGGUGUCCCACAUUCCCCUAGAGGAGCCUGUCCUAUAAUCGAUAACCCGCGCUAAACCCUACCAUCUAAGGCCAACCCAGCCUAUAUACCGCCGUCGUCAGCCCACCCUAUUGAGGGCCCAAAAGUGGACAAAAUUGCCAAUACACAAAAACGUCAGGUCAAGGUGUAGCUAAUAAGAUGGCAGAGAUGGGCUACAUUUUCUAGCAUAGAAAAUCACGGAAAAUACAAUGAAACAUGUAUUUAAAGGCGGAUUUAGUAGUAAAGAAAGACUAAAAGAAUACUCUCUUUAACCAGACACUGGGACGCGC